rnacentral:rRNA from 1 species
UAGGGAAUCUUCCGCAAUGGGCGAAAGCCUGACUGAGCAACGCCGCGUGAGUGAUGAAGGUCUUCGGAUCGUAAAACUCUGUUAUUAGGGAAGAACAAAUGUGUAAGUAACUAUGCACGUCUUGACGGUACCUAAUCAGAAAGCCACGGCUAACUACGUGCCAGCAGCCGCGGUAAUACGUAGGUGGCAAGCGUUAUCCGGAAUUAUUGGGCGUAAAGCGCGCGUAGGCGGUUUUUUAAGUCUGAUGUGAAAGCCCACGGCUCAACCGUGGAGGGUCAUUGGAAACUGGAAAACUUGAGUGCAGAAGAGGAAAGUGGAAUUCCAUGUGUAGCGGUGAAAUGCGCAGAGAUAUGGAGGAACACCAGUGGCGAAGGCGACUUUCUGGUCUGUAACUGACGCUGAUGUGCGAAAGCGUGGGGAUCAAACAGG